UCCUACGGGACGCAGCAGUGGGGGAUAUUGCACAAUGGGGGAAACCCUGAUGCAGCGACGCCGCGUGGGUGAAGAAGCGCCUCGGCGCGUAAAGCCCUGUCAGCAGGGAAGAAAAUGACGGUACCUGAAGAAGAAGCCCCGGCUAACUACGUGCCAGCAGCCGCGGUAAUACGUAGGGGGCUAGCGUUAUCCGGAAUUACUGGGCGUAAAGGGUGCGUAGGUGGUUUCUUAAGUCAGAGGUGAAAGGCUACGGCUCAACCGUAGUAAGCCUUUGAAACUGGGAAACUUGAGUGCAGGAGAGGAGG
rnacentral:rRNA from 1 species